rnacentral:tRNA from 1 species
GGUCCUAUAGCUCAGUUGGUCAGAGCAUCUGACUCAUAAUCAGGGGGUCCAUGGUUCAAGCCCAUGUGGGACCA